rnacentral:rRNA from 1 species
UACAGAGGGGGCAAGCGUUAUUCGGAAUUAUUGGGCGUAAAGGGCGCGUAGGCGGCUUGGCAAGUGGAAGGUGAAAUCCCUCGGCUUAGCCGAGGAACUGCCCUCCAAACUGCUUCGCUUGAGACCGGGAGAGGUGAGUGGAAUUCCCAGUGUAGCGGUGAAAUGCGUAGAUAUUGGGAGGAACACCAGUGGCGAAGGCGGCUCACUGGACCGGUACUGACGCUGAUGCGCGAAAGCGUGGGGAGCAAACGGG